GACGAACGCUGGCGGCGUGCUUAACACAUGCAAGUCGAACGGAAAGGCCCUGCCUUUGUGGGGUGCUCGAGUGGCGAACGGGUGAGUAACACGCGAGUAACCUGCCCUUGACUUUGGGAUAACUUCUGGAAACUGGGGCUAAUACCGGAUAGGAGCUCCUGCUGCACGGUGGGGGUUGGAAAGUUUCGGCGGUUGGGGAUGGACUCGAGGCUUAUCAGCUUGUUGGUGGGGUAGUGGCUUACCAAGGCUUUGACGGGUAGCCGGCCUGGGAGGGUGACCGGCCACAUUGGGCCUGGGAUGCGACCCGGACUCCUACGGGAGGCAGCAGUGGGGAAUAUUGCACAAUGGGCGGAGGCCUGGUGCAGCGACGCCGCGUGGGGGAUGACGGCCUUCGGGUUGUAAACCGCUUUCGCCUGGGACGAAGCGUGAGUGACGGUAAUGGGUCAAGAAGCACCGGCUAACUACGUG
rnacentral:rRNA from 1 species